CACAUUCUAUAGUUAUUCUUGAGAACUAUAGACAAGAAAUGAGAGAGAACUGGGAUAGUCUAAGGCCACAUGGAGAUCUGUCUUGCACUAUGUUGACUUAGUUUAGAGGCCCCGGCUGGAGAGGAGUCAGGCCCUUUUCUUGUGGGGUCAAUUAAGUCCGAUCCUCAAUUACCUCCUUGUUUGUCUCUCAGACCCUUGGCCGCUAUUCAGUCGCCAUAUGUGCCUCGGAGCCAGAAACCACAAAAAAAGGUUUUCGCCUACUGCUGCCCUUUAUCCCUCUGGCUCAACUCUGACGCUGGUGCUCCCACGAGUGGCCCCCUGUGGCAUGGCACGCUGUGUUCUCCCCAGGGAACUCUUUAGGAGACAGGAUGUCUGAGGUCAGAAGUUCCCCCUGGUGACCAAACCAGUUAAGACUGAUGAGAUUCAAGAUCCAGCUCACUUCGCCUUUGAAGAACCUCCAACUUCAUUAUAAUUUAUUUUCCAUACUAAAUGACACUCCCACCAGUGCCAUGACAGUUUAUAAUCACCAUGACAAUGACCAGAAGAAAUUAUGAAAGGACAAAAAGGAAGACCACAACUCCGGUUCUGAGGAAUUCUCCACCCAUUCCCAGAAAAGACAAGAAUACUCCUCCCCUUGUUUUUAAUGCCCAAACCCUUCAUUAAAGAUGUCCCAUAUCUGUGA
rnacentral:lncRNA from 1 species